rnacentral:tRNA from 1 species
GGAGAAUUAGCUCAGCUGGGAGAGCACCUGCCUUACAAGCAGGGGGUCGGCGGUUCGAUCCCGUCAUCCUCCACCA